UCGAUUUCUUGUGUUCCUAAGCUCCUGCACACUUAGACACAAGGUUCAAAUACAAUAGGACCUAACUUUAACUUGGUUGAUCAUAUCAAAACUACCACGGGGUUCCAACAGAAGACGUGUUUUGUUUACCUGAAUCAACAAUAACAGUUAUAUAGGGACAUGAAGACCUGAGUGAUUCUUAAUAUUUUGAAAACUUGACAAAUUCAUCUCCAGAUAUAAGGAUCGAUUUAUCAGACAUUAUUAGUGGACACAAUAUGGGCCAAGUGUUUUUGUUGAUUUUUGUACCGAAGCUUUCUACACGCAAACUUGAUAUGACCUAACUCAGUAGUUGUACAUAAUACCACCUGAAUUCAGCGUUUAAGUUUCAAAAUCCUGAGCCACAUCCUUUGUUUCCAUUGUGACUAGUUGAUCUUCUAAGCACAUAAUUAGUAUUGCGACUUACCAAAACACCAUUAAGCUGAACGAAUGUAGUACUUUUUGUAUGGAGAACACGACUAAAUAAAUUUUGUAUAGAGGAGAUCUCAUAACCUUAGAGAACUUGUGACUUAGCAGACUUAAAGUCAAGAGAUAGACAAGCGAGGAAGCGUAUGAUAGCCAUCGGCUCUUGUUGAUAUUGUUGAAGCUUCACAUUAGGGCUAAAGGGCAACAAGAUAUUAAACUCCUCAUAUGUCUUCUUGAAUGCCAUAAAAUAAUUGAUUUUUUCACACGUUAAAAUGCUUUGCAAACCUCAUAAGUGCAGGAGAGAUUCCCUUUUCCAGAGUAUAAAAAUUCUAAACAAUCCAUCAGUUCUUUAGCAAAUUCACAUCAAACCAAUUACCUCACUAUCAAUAUAAUUCUGAAUCGAAGGAAUAAGCAAGCAUCCUUUUUAAGCCAUGUCUUCUUCAAAUUAUCUUGAGGGUCAUCAGUUAAAUGAUUAUCUUUAUCAAUACUUCGUAGAUAAAGACGAACCGUCUUACUCCAAUCCAAAUAGUUCAACCAUUUAGCAUAUAGUCCGUGAUUUUAGACAUCAUAGGCACUAUAUCCGUCACAAUUGAAGACUUAUUUUUAGCCAUAAGACCUUUUCCCAAAUGAAAUCAAAUAAGAGAAAAAUCCAAGUACAAACAAAUCCACGCGCGCGAGAAGGAAGACCGAACCAAUAUCAGCGUCGGCUGCUGGCAUGCAGAGGCUUCAGUAAUAGGAAAAAAAAUCACGAGUGGGGCAAAGAAACUACGUCCAAGGAGAACGCACGACAUCCAGGGAGAGUGCAUGACGUCUAAGAAACCAAUAUGACGGCGGAUGCUCGACGCAUAGGACAACGCGACCUGUAGUCACACGUAGGUGUUGCUCACGUCGAGGAAAGUAGGGCGACAGAUAAGGAAGAGAAAAAAGGGCUAGAGGGGGUGGUGGAGAGGCUGAGAUCGGCGAAGAGGGCAAGGAAGGCGUCUAGGGUUAGAUCAUUGUUGCGGGCCUUGUCACGAUCGAGGGUGUCAAGGACGAAUCCGAAGAAGGUUGGGUCGGUGGCGUGUAGUGACUUUUGCUGCUAGAAGCAACGCCGUUGCACAUAUGUGAGAGGAAGAAGAGAUUUUGAAGUAGCUCUGAUACCAUGUUAUUUAAGAUAAAAAGAAUAUGUAUAGUUUAUUAAAAAGUGAGACAUAUUUAUAUAUAAACUAGAAAUAUAUCUUAGGAAAUAAUCUAUCUUAGGAAAUUAUAAUUAGGCUAAUUGACUACUUGCUAAUUGAUAGAAUAUAUACGGAUAAGUCAAAAGUAACUUUUGAAAGCACCCCAUCAAUCUUACAUCAUUCUUACCUAGCAACUUAUUCUUUUUUAUAUUUUUCUACUUUAAAAAUCACAUUAUUUAUUUAUUUAUUUAUUUAUAUUCAUUAAAUUAAUGUUAAAAUUUUAUCAGAAGACCAUCUAUUUAAAGAGAUCAACUCACCAUGUGAAUGGGUUUAUUAUUUUAUAUAUAUUUUUUUUCUGCUCAAGUGUAUCUGGAAAUUGCGACCCAAUCUCCCUCUGUACCUCCCACUUCAUUUUUGGCAGGGAGGUUAACACAAGUUGUAUCUUGGUUAUACUUCUAGGUUGAAAUCUUACCUUACAAGGAGUUUUCUUGCCUCUGGGAUGAUUCUAUUUCAUUUCUUAUCUAAUUUUUCCUUUAUUUAAUUUAUUGUACGAUAAUUUUAUUUCUUAGAAUUAACUUUUUGAUUCUAUUUAUCAUAUUGGCUCUAACUACCUUGUCUAUAAUGCUCAUUACCAAAUAAUUGAAGUUCUACUAGGUUGCCCUCUUGUAUCCUUGUUUGAAAGAGUUAUCUUGACUUUUUGACAAUUUCUUUCAAUGUACUUGUCUUUUCCUUUUCUCCCCUAUGGACUUAUAACUUAUAUAUUUGAUACCAAAGUGACAAAUUGCAUAGCCUAAGUAUUUAUAUCAGUUAGUUAUUGUUCUUUUUUUUUAAAAAAAAAUUAUUGCUCAGUAUGUAUUGUAUUUUCAAUGCAUUUGAUCGAUCUCAUUGUAUAAGAAAUGAGUUGAUUGGUUCAUUUUGUUAUUUUGCACAUAGUCAAACUUUGGGUUUGUGCUGUGUACAUUUCAAAUUAGUUAUUUUUGUCAAAUACUUGUUCUAUAACACUAUUGUUUAGCCACACUAAUUGAUCUUUAAUGUUGGUACAACUAAUUUGCAUCAUUCAAUAUUAUGUUUCUGCUAGUACUACUGUUUCUUGCAGAAUCUAUUCCCUGGAGUGGAGUUUAUGGUUUUCAAACUUCUCCAAAUUUUCUCGUGUGCAAUAGAACUGAUGUACUCGUCAGUCAUCAGUUGCCUCGGGUAUUUUUGACACAAUGAUGACUGAUGCCAAUUAUUCCUAAAUUGUGGAGCUAGUUAGAGUAAACCCGCCGAACUCUACAAGAGUACAUUUUGGAUCUGGAACAGUUUGGAAGUUGAUCUGGAUAAACUCCUGUUUUUGGAUAGAAAUACUUGAGACGGAACAUGUUACUAAUGUUUAUAUUUUUGUUUUACUUUUGCAGCAAACAGCAGCAUGGAACGAAAACUCUCUCUUCCUGGAGGAGACGAGUUCUAGUCGAGUUGCACAGUAAUCAAUGAUAGAACACCAGGGAUGAAAGGAAAAAAUUUUCUUCCCGAAAUUCCACAAGCAAGCGAGAUUUAUCUGAACACUAUCUAUGUAAGGUCUGGCCAGAGAAUUUUGCUGGGGACUGCAGGAGUUCCUCCACAAGCUGAUGAAGAGGAAGGGCUUCAAACGUUGAACCAGGUUUGGAGGUUUCUCUUGGACCAGGUUCCAUACAUCACCAUCAGCUUUUCCGUGGAUGAGCAGGAAGCAGGUGAGUGGAUGUGGUUCUAUCUUUUGCUGCCUGAACUCUUUUUGGUAGAUUAUGAUUCCUUCAGAAGAGUUUGCAUUUGGUUGUCCAUGUUUUUGUCUACUUUUCAAAAAAAAAAAAAUCUCUUGAAGGAUUUAACUAAUAUGCUCAUACUAUUUUGGCUCUGAUUGAUGUGAUUGUGGAGCCAUUUUGAAAUGUUGCAUUUGGAUAAUGAUAAAGU